rnacentral:rRNA from 1 species
UACAGAGGUCUCAAGCGUUGUUCGGAAUCACUGGGCGUAAAGGGAGCGCAGGCGGAUUAGUAAGUCAGUGGUGAAAGCCUUAAGCUUAACUUGGGAACUGCCAUUGAUACUAUUAGUCUUGAAUGUUGUUGAGGUUUGCGGAAUGGGUCAUGUAGCGGUGAAAUGCAUAGAUAUGACCCGGAACACCUAUUGCGAAGGCAGCAGGCUAAACAAAUAUUGACGCUGAGGCUCGAAAGCGUGGGGAUCAAACAGG